rnacentral:rRNA from 1 species
GUCGCACGAGAACGCUUCAGCUUGCUGAAGUUAGUAAAGUGGCGCACGGGUGAGUAACGCGUGGGUAAUCUACCCUCGAAUUGGGGAUAACAUCGCGAAAGUGAUGCUAAUACCGAAUGACAUUUUGAAAACAUAUGUUUUCAAGAUCAAAGGUGGCCUCUACAUGUAAGCUAUUGUUUGGGGAUGAGCCCGCGUACCAUUAGCUUGUUGGUAGGGUAAUGGCCUACCAAGGCUACGAUGGUUAGCUGGUCUGAGAGGAUGAUCAGCCACACUGGAACUGACACACGGUCCAGACUCCUACGGGAGGCAGCAGUGAGGAAUUUUGCGCAAUGGGGGAAACCCUGACGCAGCAACGCCGCGUGAGUGAUGAAGGCUUUCGGGUCGUAAAGCUCUGUCAAGUGGGAAGAAUCCAUAUGGUGUUAAUACCGCCAUAUGCUGACGGUACCACUGAAGGAAGCACCGGCUAACUCCGUG